rnacentral:piRNA from 1 species
UUCCCAGAGUGGACUGCUGAGAAGUGGGC